rnacentral:rRNA from 1 species
UACAGAGGGGGCAAGCGUUGUUCGGAAUUACUGGGCGUAAAGGGCGCGUAGGCGGCCUGUUAAGUCGAACGUGAAAUCCCCGGGCUCAACCCGGGAACUGCAUCCGAUACUGGAUGGCUUGAAUUCGGGAGAGGGAUGCAGAAUUCCAGGUGUAGCGGUGAAAUGCGUAGAUAUCUGGAGGAAUACCGGUGGCGAAGGCGGCAUCCUGGACCGACAUUGACGCUGAACGGCGAAAGCUAGGGGAGCAAACGGG